rnacentral:rRNA from 1 species
UACGGGGGGGGCAAGCGUUGUUCGGAAUUACUGGGCGUAAAGGGCUCGUAGGUGGCCAACUAAGUCAUACGUGAAAUCCCUCAGCUUAACUGGGGAACUGCGUCUGAUACUGGAUGGCUUGAGUUUGGGAGAGGGAUGCGGAACUCCAGGUGUAGCGGUGAAAUGCGUAGAUAUCUGGAGGAACACCGGUGGCGAAGGCGGCAUCCUGGACCAAUACUGACACUGAGGAGCGAAAGCCAGGGGAGCAAACGGG